UGGAGCCAAGCGGAAAUGAGUGGAGCCGAGCGGGGCAGGGUAGAGCCGAGCGGAGCCGGGUGGAGCCGAGCGGAGCCGAGCGAGUGAGAAGCCGGAGACCGAGAGGGCCGGGCCGACUUGAAGAGUUUUGGACAAAGAUGAAGAAACGAAUCUAGAGACUGGCUGACCUUGGAUCUCAGCUGUGAACCAAAGCCGUGGAGAUGAAGGAACUCUGGGAGUGAGUGAGGGAAGAGCAGUUGGUAUACAGACAGGGUGUUCCAGCUGCAAGAGGAGGGGAAUGCAGGAAUUGUCUUUUAAAUUUGUUAUCUGC